CUUGGAUAGGUGUAGCGAUAUGGUGAUGACUCAACCCUGCUGUGUAAUGGACUGAUGGGGCUUGGAUAGGUGUAGUGAUAUGGUGAUGACUCAACCCUGCUGUGUUGUCCUGAUGGGGCUUGGAUAGGUGUAGUGAUAUGGUGAUGACUCAACCCUGCUGUGUUGUCCUGAUGGGGCUUGGAUAGGUGUAGUGAUAUGGUGAUGACUCAACCCUGCUGUGUAAUGGACUGAUGGGGCUUGGAUAGGUGUAGUGAUAUGGUGAUGACUCAACCCUGCUGUGUAAUGG